rnacentral:rRNA from 1 species
UUGAAAGGGAAACGAUUGAAGUCAGUCGUGCUGGCAUGAAAUCAACCACUGCAUACACAAAAGUGUUGGCGGGUGAGCCUAAAAACCAUCGCGCCAACAUUUUUGCGUAUGCAGUGGUGCACUUUUUUGUCAGCCGGUUAGCAUCAAUUUCGACCGUCAUAAAAAGGCUGGGGGGAUGUGGCUCCUUCGGGAGUGUUAUAACCCUUUAGCGGAAUGUGGUGGACGUGAUUGAGGAUUGCAACGGGGGCUGCUUUACCUUGGCCCUCCCCGCUUGCGUCUCGGGGGCGACAGCUUGCUGACGUCGUUGGGAACCGCAGACGAAAAGGUAGAGUGGGGCGAUUCGUUAAGGAUGUUGACGUA